CAGGAUGAACGCUGGCGGCGUGCCUAAUACAUGCAAGUCGAACGAGCGAGAUCCAGCUUGCUGGAUUAGCGAGUGGCGAACGGGUGAGUAAUACGUAAGCAACCUGCCUACACGGACUGGGAUAACACCUGGAAACGGGCGCUAAUACCGGAUAGGUAACGAGAGGGCAUCCUCUUGUUAUUAAAGGUUUGAAACACAAGUAGAUGGGCUUACGGUGCAUUAGCUAGUUGGUGAGGUAACGGCCCACCAAGGCGAUGAUGCAUAGCCGGCCUGAGAGGGUGAACGGCCACAUUGGGACUGAGACACGGCCCAGACUCCUACGGGAGGCAGCAGUAGGGAAUUUUCGGCAAUGGGCGCAAGCCUGACCGAGCAACGCCGCGUGAAGUGAUGAAGGUUUUCGGAUCGUAAAGCUCUGUUGUAAGGGAAGAAUGGCGCGGACAGACUCCGCGAUUGACGGUACCUUACCAGAAAGCCACGGCUAACUACGUGCCAGCAGCCGC
rnacentral:rRNA from 1 species